GCCCACCCGACACCGACCAACCAGCACCGACCAAACCGAUAGAUCAGCAAUAAAGGAGUCAGACCACACGAGCAAAGUCCAAUGACCAGCGACCCAGAUGUGAUAUGCCCCAUCAGCAGUUUUAGUAUACAAAUAGCCGGUUCGAACCCCCGAUCAAUCUCUUUUUAGUUCAGGUACUUGAGGUAAUAGGUAGUUUGUAAGAAGUGUUGAGAUGUUAUUAAGUGAAAAUCGAUAGAAUAAAAUAUUUUUUUUAAUGAAACGUUGAGUGUAAACUCAUUAUUGGCGCUGUAGCAGUUCGGUAAAGUUGAAAAGACUUGUGUUUAUAACAGUGGAAUAGUAGUGCACAAAAAAACGCUACUCAAGUGGUUCCCGCUAACGCGUCUGCAGCUGAAGGAUUACAUCCGCUGUGAAGAUUUGAGGAUCCCCCCGGCACAAAGAAAAUCAACUGAACCAAGAGGACACCGCGUGCACUCGGCAACACAGUUCACACCGAACGAGGUUCUUUUUAAUCAACGGAAUCAAAUUGACCCACAAGAUAUUUUUAGAGAGGCCCAAGAAAUUUUUUCAAAAGUAAAACAAAACAUAGAAAAAGCUAGAAAUAUUCAAGCAAAAAGUAAUUCUCAUAAAGAAGACCCACCGAUAGUCGAAGAAGGCCAAAGAGUGUUCGUUAGACCCAAUAUUAGGAAAAAGCUAGAUCCUAGAGCAGUCCCUACAGCAGCAAAACAAAUUAAAGAGAAAACCUUCGAAAACAUUAGAGGAAUAAAAAGACAUAAGGGUAAAAUUAAAAGAUUGAAAAAAGUAUGAAGUUUUUCAACGUAUUAUUGUUUAUAUCAAUCAAGCAGAUACUAGGCCAAUAUUUAGAAAUUAACGAUCUUCACCAUAACCCAUUACUCAUGCUAAAAGAACAAAAUUGCUACAUUCAAACAGGGAUUAUUAAAAUUUUGCAUCCAAUAAACUUGACAAUGUUAGAAAUUAAUGUUGCUUUGUUUUUAGAGUUUUCAAGAAAAAUCGAUCAAGAUUUACCUAUGUCAAACCUCAUCUUGCGAAAAAGUAGACAGCUAGCUGAUAAUUUAUAUAAAUUAAAACCAGUCAGGAGAAAUAGGCAUAAAAGAUGGGACAGCAUUCGCAAAGCUUGGAAAUGGCUCGCAGGAACCCCAGACGCAGAUGAUCUGCGUAUAAUCAACAGUACAUUCAACGCCCUAGUCGACCAGUCCAACGAACAGAUCAAAAUUAACCGAGUUAUCAACGAAAGGAUUUCGAAUAUAACUAACACCGUCAAUCAACUCACAUCAGUGAACAACAUUCUUCUUAAGGAGACCGACGCUAUCACCCUACUUUUAUCCUUGGAUACGAUGAACAAUAUCCUCGAGGAGAUUGAAGACGCCAUCUUGAGGGCUCGUGUAUCACUUUCGAAUAGACAACCAGAAUCCCCAAGAAAGCGCAAGGAGUUUUUCCCCAAUCGAACGAGGACGUUCGAUCUUACCCCCCGGAGGAAUUACGUGAUGGCCCACCCGACACCGACCAACCAGCACCGACCAAACCAAUAGAUCAGCAAUAAAGGAGUCAGACCACACGAGCAAAGUCCAAUGACCAGCGACCCAGAUGUGAUAUGCCCCAUCAGCAGUUUUAGUAUACAAAUAGCCGGUUCGAACCCCCGAUCAAUCUCUUUUUAGUUCAGGUACUUGAGGUAAUAGGUAGUUUGUAAGAAGUGUUGAGAUGUUAUUAAGUGA